CCCGAACCGCCUAUCUUGGGUAGGGCAUAAGCCAUGCGAGGUCUCGCGCCCGGGGGCGCCCGGGAGCGGCGCACUUGCUCACUAACACUCUGCCCAACCUACCCUCUUGGAGGGGGACACCCCCGGGAAACUGGGGCCAAUCCCCCAUAGGGGAAGGGCGCUGGAAGGCCCCCUCCCCGAAAGGACGGCGGCCGAUCCGCCGCCGCCCGCCCGAGGAUGGGGGCACGGCCCAUCAGGUAGUUGGCGGGUUAAAGGCCCGCCAAGCCGAAGACGGGUAGGGGCGGUGAGAGCCGCGAGCCCCGAGAUCGGCACUGAGACAAGGGCCGAGGCCCUACGGGGUGCAGCAGGCGCGAAUACUCCGCAAUGCGGGCAACCGCGACGGGGCUACCCCGAGUGCCGGGCGAAGAGCCCGGCUUCUGCCCGGUCUAAAACGCCGGGAGAAUAAGCGGGGGGCAAGUCUGGUGUCAGCCGCCGCGGUAAUACCAGCUCCGCGAGUGGUCGGGGUGUUUACUGGGCUUAAAGCGCCCGUAGCCGGCCCGGCAAGUCGCUCCUGAAAUCCCAGGGCUCAACCCUGGGGCAGGGGGCGAUACUGCCGGGCUAUGGGGCGGAAGAGGCCGCCGGUACUCCGGGGGUAGGGGCGAAAUCCGUUAAUCCCCGGGAGGACCACCAGUGGCGAAAGCGGGCGGCCAGAACGCGCCCUAACGGUGAGGGGCGAAAAGCCGGGGGGAGCAAAAGGGGAUUAGAUACCCCCUGUAUUCCCGGGCGUUAAA
rnacentral:rRNA from 1 species